rnacentral:lncRNA from 1 species
GGCAAAGUGUACAAUUCCUUUUCUUUUGGUAAAAAGAAUUUUUCAAUACUCAUUUCAUAACAUUGUAAUAAGUCAGAAUAUGUGCAUAUUAUUCCAUAUUUCAAUAUAUUACAAAUUGCUCAGAUAAUGAAAUUGUAUGGUAGUUGUCAAAUUUCAAGCAUUGCUUAGCUUUGAAGUUUGAACUCUAUAAAUGAAUUUGUGCAACUGUCCUUUAUAUUUCACUUUAUACUGUUAAGAGUAUGUGACUAUUGUCCAUAAAUAAGUUUGAUACUAUAAGAAAACUACUGAAAGGAGAGAUUUUCUUGUAAUAUUACUAAAACUGAAGUACUGAAUAAAGCAAUUAACUUCUAGUUUUCUUACUUAAAGAAAACUGUCGAAUGAUGAGAUAUUCUGGUAGCUUGAACUCAGUUAUAAGUGUUAGUUCAAAAUCAUAGAUGUAUUCAUUUGUUUGCUUGAUAUAAAAUAAUUUUCCUUCAAGCAAUUUUUUAUUUCAAUAAUGUUACACAAAUUUCUUUUCAUUCAUCAUGCAUUUAAAACAGUUGUAUUCAGUUUUAUUAAUUCUGGAAAAUUCACAUGUUGUUUGCAUUGUUCAUUUCAUAAUAUUACUCAGAAUUUUUCAAUUUUGCAAUAUUGAAAAUGGAUAAAUAUUAUAAUCGAUGGGAUAUUGUGGUAGCAUCUAUAUUUCUUGUUGGGUAUAGCUUUAUUUUAAGCUACUUAUUGGCAGUAGUGAAGGACACAUUUUCAUAUCGCUUCAUCUUGAAAAAGUGCUUAUAUUACCAUGUUGUACUUAAAACUUUCAAAACUUAGAACAUUUCAUUUAUAAAUGAAUCAUUAAUACUUAGAAUUAUAAUUAUAAGACCAUUUAAUAUUGUAAUUCAUAACACCUUAUCAAACGCUCAUGAAAAUACAAGACAUAAAAAUCUAAGACACCCAUUGGUAAGAUUUCAAUAGACGUGAAAGUUUACGCUUGCCAUUGUAUCAUCUUGUGCAGUUACAAUUGUUAGAAUCUUAUAAAAAAUGUUAACCAUUUAAGAACCUAAUAUUUAGGUAUAAAACUCCAAAAAAAUCUUACCUAAGGUUGUAUAACACUUUCUGGCAAUGCAAUCAUAAAAUUUUGAAGGACGAUUUUUGUACUCAGACUCUAGAAUCAACCAAUCAAAAUACUGGAUUUUGUGUUUCCAGCACAAAUUCUGACUCCGUGUACCGAGUAAAGUUUUAUCACCAAGAUCCCUGGUCACAUAUGCUUUUUCUUUACAACUAAUGUUCAGAUGGAUUUAAACAUAUUUAAAAAAAAAAUGUUUAAGGUUUUUAUGCUGAGACAUCUCAUCUAGUAUAGAGGUUUUUGAAAAAAGAAAAUGUUUAAGUCUAAAGCAAUCAAGUGAUAAUAAGAUAGAAAAUUCAAUUUUGCAUAACCUGUAUGUAUGGUAUUGAUUGAAAUUCACAUUUUGUUCCAAAGAUCCAAGAUAUCUGACAAAGGGUAUUACAAAUUGUUUUUCAGAAUUAUUUCAAAGAGAGGCAUGAUAUCUUCAUAUUUUCACUGUAUUUUUUAUUAACCAAAUUAUCAAAUUAUCAUAUGUAGAUCAUAACAGGAGGUAUUUUAAAAAUUGAUUUCUGUGAAAAUCAAAAUGCCUUCCUCGGUUGCUUUAACCUGUUUGGUCCAAUAUUGUGGAUUCAUUUAUUUUUGUGGGUACCAAUUUUCAUGAAUUAAGGAAAACUUGCAUUUUCAUGGAUAUUUGAUUUCGUGGUUUUGUCAAAGUCUGUACAAUUCAUGGUUUUGGUAACCACGAAAUCAAUGAAAACUGGUAUCCAACGAAUAAUAAUGAAUCCAUAAUAGUUAAAAAUUGUUUUAAAAAUUAUAACCAUUGCUGUUGUGUGGAAAAAUUCAUAUAAGUGCAUCAUUUAAACCUUAUAUGGCAUCAUGACAUACAUUGUUAUUGUUUGUUAAGUUUAAUGUUGUAUUUAAUUAUAAAAUGUGGUUCUGGUAUUUUCCACUACAACGGAUCGCUCUAGAAUCUUUUACUAUUACUUUUUUAGUGGGGUUCCUCUAUUAAAAUAUAAGUUUCUAUUUUGAAAAUGCUUUUUUUUUGGGAUAGCAGUUUUGCCGGUAUAUAAAUGUAAUGUGCAGAUUUAGGAUAUACUGUAAACCAACUGAUUUUUGAGGAUAUUUUUUUGGCUUGAUUAGCUAAUCUAUUUUACAAUUUUCUUCAUUUAUUCAUGUCAAACUUAGCAUUUAAGCAAGUAUUUACAGUCUUUAUCAUGCUAUACUUGUAAAAGUUCCAAAAACUAAAUGGCAUAUGAAAAUUAUUUGGUUUAUAGAUUUUGAACCUGAGGGUGCAUACAUAUAAAAUUUUGGCAUGUCUAACGUCUCCAGUAACAGCUUUCUAACAUUCUUUUUUUCUUUUUUCAAUCGAUGUGGGAUUUAAUUACUUUCAUUUUUGCUUACUAAUUUACACAUAUACACUUAAUCAUUCAGAAAUAGCAGGUGUAAAAUUAUUAUGCCAUAAAUACAUUUAUUUCACACAUAUGUACCCAUUACUUACAUUUUGUUUAUUCAUUUACACUUGCCAUUCACAAAUUGAAAAUGUAAAAUGAACUAUACACAGGAAUAUGUCCACAAUACAUGUAUUUCACACUUAUUUACAUUUUUGCUUAUUCAUUUAUACAUACAUAUACAUGUACCAUUAACAGUUUACAGGUGUGAAAUACACGAUGCAGCGGAACAUGCCCUAUGUUCAUGUUGUUCACACUUGCUGUAUUCAUUUACACAUAUAACACUUGCUGUUCACAAGUAGCAGAAUAGAAAUGUACUAUACAAAGGAACUACAAAACAUUGUACUUAGCUUUGUCUCGUUAAGAUUGUUAUGUUUGAGAUUAAAAGAAUGAUAUCAUAGAUUUUGUUUUAUAUAAGUAGAGUUUGUGUAUACAUGUAUGUUUAAAUAUGUGGUUUUACAGAAAGAUGAGUAAAUUGGUUACUAUACAAA